CCAGCUCUGGGCCUGAAUCUCUCCUCAUAAAUGGACCAGACCAUCCUCCCUUAUAAAUGUCCUCCCCCAUCUCACUUCCCUCCUUCCCCAUGUGCCCUCACUUUCCCUUGCCACCCCCUCUUCUCCUCUCCCCAAGAAUGCCUCUGACCUGUGCCAGCUGGGGGUAACCUCUGCUCAGGGGUAGUUUUGUCUCUGCUGGGGCCAACACAAUCGAGGUCUGUGAAAAGGAGGGGAGUCUGCAGGAGGCCGGCACAAGCUGGGCUAUUCGGAUCCUUGUCCAUUAAAGCCUCUUCGCUCUCCUUAACCCAUUCUGGCUCCAUUCAAGCCACCUCGAGGGUCAGGCUUUAGCAGGCUCUAAAACCUGUAGGGUCCAGAUUCUUUGACAUUGUUUCGAAAGAAUUAAGGCAUCAACCAGGGACGGCUAAUAUUUCUUGCCUCAUUUUAUUGCCGAACAGCAGGACUGUAAAGUUCUGAACACUGGAGCACUGUGGCCCCCUUUCAUGUGGCCGAGAUGAUGGGAUAAAAAUGUGUUUGGUGAAGCAAUUCAGAUUACCACUGGGUCACAUCCUCGCUAGCUCCCAGCACAGCACUCUAAGCAGCAAAGCACAGACAAGAAGCAAUCUGUGCGAACGCAGCUCGUGCUGAACAGUGCUUGAGCGUGGAAAUGAGGCUAAUUGUGGAGCUUGCCAAUGAACAUGUUUUGUUUUUAAUAGUUCAGGCUGUGGCUCAGAAUAAUAAGAGUGGUGAUGGCUGACUAUGGAUCUAAGUCUUCUAAUCCCCUGCUUCCAUAGCUUCCCACACAGUUAUUCUGCUCUUGGGGCAGGGGGACCAUUCUGUUAAAAGCAGGCUCUUGACUUUAUGCGUCGGGAUGCCGGAUUGUACUCUCUAGAGACAGGAUACUAGUUUAGGGGACUUCAGCCUUAGGUCUUCUGUGCCACACAUUCUGGGGGGAAGGAGGGCUGUCUUUAACACAGAAGAUGGUGAGAAAAGGGUGAAGAGUCCCUGUGAUUGGAAGGCCCACACCUCAAUAUAGCAGGGAAUAAUCUGAUAGCUCUAAAUAGCAAGGACCACAGGGUUUCUUAGAAAUCACUCCCCAGGGUAGACAGCGAAUGAAAAGCUCUUCUUGCCCUCAUUUGAUAGUCCUACCCAAUUCCUCUGUGACUGAGUCAGUUUGUGAUUCUAACCAGCUCUGUUGCUCUGGGAUAGCACCACAGCCCCUCUAAACUCUGAAAGGUGGUCUCACCCCUAGGACUGUAUGCUGUGCCUUGGGCUUCGUGUCAAUGCAGCCUUGGAAGUGAGAGCAUCCAUGUGGCCCUGUGAAGCCAUUUGGGGGCUAUGUUCAUGUCCCAUUGCCACUGUUACUCAGCUGUGUGGCCUUAGGCAACUUAAUCGCGUUCUCUGAGCUUCAGUUUCUUCAGCUCUAUACAUGGACACGAGCAGAACACUGUGAGGUUUAUUGGUAGUGUUCCGAUGAGAGAUGGUAGGAAGUUGCACUGAUAGCAUCAUUACCGCUCCUGGCGUGGUGGGUUUGAAAGAGGUCCUGGCACAUUCACAGUGGACCCAGACACCGGGAGAUAUGGUGAAAACCUCUGUAGAGGAAUCCCUUUUGUUGGUGCACACUGCUAAAAGUUAAAUGGGAAGGGAUAUGUUUCCCUGGCUAGCAAGUGUUAGCCCUCCAGAAUGAGCUGUUGUUAGCCCUGCGUCUGUGGCAUGAUUCACGGCUCUUCAUCUAAAUUUCCAAAGCUCUUGGCCCUUAAAGGACAAAAGAAACGCCAGCAAGUCCCUGUCCCCAUUUGGGGCAUGAGCUGUGGGGCGCUAGAGACAAGAAUCUCAGGGCCUCUCCUGGCUGCCAGGCCAGAGUGUAAUAAAUCUGUGAAAUAACAAGCACAAAGGACUUUAUAAUCAAUGACAGAUUUUAUUUUUGCUCUGGCAAAAUCCAUCCGUGGAGUUCACAUUUUAUGGGGAAAUAACUACCCAGUCUGUGACUCCUCCUCAGCCCAAAAUUCUCUUUCUGUAAGUUGGGAAAACUCAGAGGAUCAGACUUGGCGACUCUGAGAACCCUGGCCAGGGAAAGCGCAACUUCCCCUGGGCGGGAACCCAGCCUUCCCCGUACUUCCUAGGGUGGCGAGGGCUAUUCAUUUCUGUUUUGCUAAAAUACCCGUGACAUGUGAAUAAACCAGGAUUACAGAACAUUGUCUCGGACAGUAGUCUGAGCCUGCACGGCCUCUGGUUUGAUGAAAUAUGGUGCUCUCUGAGCAAACAUGGGGAUUGGUAUUACUUCUCGUUAAAGCUGAACAGCGGGACUAUUUAGAACCCAUUCAUGACUGCAGCCCUGUGGGGAGUGACAAUUUGAAGGGAGCCGAUUUGGAGAAGGAGGUGGUGUGUGUGUGUGUGUGUGUGUGUGUGUGUGUGUGUGUGUUUGAGUUGGCUAGAGCCAGCUAAGAGGAGUCUGCUGGAGAGGCGGCCAAAUAGACACUUUGGAAAUCGCCACUCCUUUGGGAUUGUGCAGCCUCCUUACAACCCCCAAAUAAUGUUCCUCAAAGACUUUGAUGGUCUCUUUUGAGUGAGAGGGACAAAGUGGACAUCCCCUGGCUGGCAUUCAGGCUCUUGCCAUCUGUCCUGUUUGUCUUGGUUGAGACUUUCUCAGUCUCUUCCUGUCUGUCCUCUCCAGCCCCAGAAUUCAGAAGGACCACAUUGCUGCUCUCAGCUCCCUUCCCAGCUGCCAUCUUGCUGCUUUCAGGUGACUCCAGUGGAUGCUGCCACACACAUCUGAUGUCCCUCUGGCAUCCUAACUCUCAGGCUACUAACUACUAGGAGAUUGCUGUCUGCUGAGGGCCAGAAGCUGAGCCCCUCCUCAGGAAUGGUCAGUGAGCUGACAGAAGCCUCUUGCACAGUUUCUCUCUGUCUUUGUUUCUUCCCUCAGGGUCAGCCAAGUCCAACGGGCAGAUGCAGGUUGGGGAGCCCUAGACAGCUCUGGGUGGCAUCAUGCUCUUGGAGUAACAACUUUGACAGCUCUAUCACAUGAGGUUCCUCUUUCUGGCCAAUGCUGGGACACUACAGCGCUGGGCAGGCCAGCAAGACCCAGAGAUUCCCCUAUGGAACUGACUUAAGGAAAAGGGCACCAGAAGGCCCCAUGGUAAGUACACAAACCUUCGUUUCUUACAGAUGAUCCAGCUGAGGAUUGGCUCCAGGUUUUAAAUAGGAAAGUAACAGAGUUUCCUCAUUCUUAACACCCACAAGUUUGUUAUACCAAAGUCGGGGACCUAUCUGCUUAGGAACAGGGGGUUCUUUGAGAGUUGGAGCACUUUGGUUGAUGAACUUUCCUAAGGAAGGCAUCUUAGGUCUCUAUACCUCUAUGAAUGCUCUGGGCUCAAGAAUACCAACUUCUUUCUGAGGAGAUGCAACUGUAACAUGCAUUCCUCACACAACCUACUUAUCUCUGUCUUCUGACUGCCUAGGGAAAGAUGGGGUCGUGUUAUCUCCUAGUGGGACUGAACCCACCAAAGAGGAAUCCACUGUAGACCGGUUCACACAUACCAGGGCGUAGGAGUGCAAACUGGGACAUGCUGCUGCUGGGUGAAGAGUAGGGGAUAGAAUUGGAAAGAGAGGUGACACAGGCACACUCUCCUGUGAUGCAUGCAUGGCUUAUGCUAUGGACAGGGUCCCAGCGACUGUGGCUGAUACACUUAGUGGUUGGCUCUUGGACACUUAGGAAAAGCAAUUGCUUUUAUAAGAAGCACAGUGUACGUGGAUGUUCAGGGUGGAAGCUUUUAUUAUUGAACAGGAUCCCUAUAUAACAAAAGGAUCCCUAUAUAAUGAAAGGAUUCCUAUAUAACGAAAGGAUCCCAAGGCAGCAGAGUGCUUAACUGUCCAAGCUAAGCCAGAUACAUCCACCAGAAUAAGAGGCACAGGGGAAGUGCAGCCAGGGCCCCUCACUCACACAAAGCUAUGGGGAUGCUUAAUAAAAUGCAGUCACAAGGGGCCACGCAGCUAACAAGAGGAGUAUUGCUCUGCUUAUACAAUAAAAAAAAAUAAGCCAAAAAGAGAACAGUAAAAGGUGAAUGAAUGAGGCAGGGGGCAGCCACUCUGGUGUCUGAUGAGCCAGCUUUUGGUUCUGGAGCACAGUAGGCCAGCUUUCUGUCCUGGAGCACAGUAGGAGGGGAUGAAGUCAGGUUCCUAGAGACAUCAGCAGCACUUUAGCAGGGGAAGACGAUAAUGAACUCUCUCAAAGGGACCUGUGGUCACAGACUCAAGUGGCAAAUGAACAGAGAGGAACAUCUGGGUACUUCAAGGACAGACGGACAUAGAGACCAAGUGAAUGAACACUAGAACUAAGGCACCGUUGUCACUAUCCCGCUAGAGUGGGGUUUUACAUAAAUGGAUAUCUCUUCGCAGUCAGCUUAUUGAGCCCCAGGGUCUCCUCCAUAGCCAUUUACUCAUGCCUCAAAUGGAUAAUUGGAAUAAGAAUUCUUGGCAGAGGCCAGACCUUUGUACUGGUGUCUUGGCCUGUAGCGUAGGGGCCUGUGCCACUGGAAGGCAAGCUGAAGCUUGGUGGUGGUGCAACACGAUGAGAGUUACUCUAUGAGUGGGGUCCAAGAAGAAGUCUUUGAAACUGUUCUCUCACCCUGCUUCAGCCAGAUCAGUGAAUUAACAUCAGUGCUGUACUCCCCAGGGCAACAAUGGAUCUGACUACCAUCUUUUGGACCAUGAAGUAUAUAGCUGAGAUGGUACUGUUGAUCUCAUCACUUAUGCUACUAGUCCAAGUCUUAUAGAAACCCUACAGACUAGCUGUGGCACAUCGGCUCAGGCAGACUGAGCUCAGGUACAUAGCUUUGUGGUCUUUGACUUGGUCACUAUAUCUGUUUCAUCUCAUUUUGAAGGACUAAGAAGCAGCAGUCAUUCACAUUGAUCUGGCAGAGUUAUAGCUCAAUGGUAGAGCAUUUGGCUAUACAUGGCCUUGAUAUCACAACAUAAUUACUGGUAUAUGCAUUUCAUCUUCUAAGGCCACGUUAAUUACUAUCUCUGGCGUGAUGGGCCAAAUGGACUUAUGAUUUGUGAAUAUUCUACUGAGCAUCAUACUGGUGCAUAUGACAUCCUGAGUCACCAAGAAGUGGCAAGCACUUUGGAGAUUCUGCAACACCACCCAGCACGAGCCAAAACACAUGGGCAGGAUUCUGCAGACCUCCCCACCCCUGAGUGGGGCUGAGCUUCAUUCUGGGACUCAUCCUUUAGCACAUGGGUUUUGAGGAGACAUACAAGAUCCAAACAACAGUUAGAUGCAAUUACUCACCCCGAGCCAUGAUGCCCCACCUCCAUCCAACAAGAAGUAAACCACCUACUGCUUGGCUCUGGUGUUUCAUCAAAGGGGGGAGGGUAGAAGGAGGGAGGACAUUAGGAUGGCCUGAAAGUGGAAGAAGAAGGAAAUGGAAGAAAAGGAAGGAGGAGGAAGAAGGAAGAAGGAAGAAGGAAGAAGGAAGAAG